AUUGAACGCUGGCGGCAUGCCUUACACAUGCAAGUCGAACGGCAGCGCGGGAGCAAUCCUGGCGGCGAGUGGCGAACGGGUGAGUAAUACAUCGGAACGUGCCCAAUCGUGGGGGAUAACGCAGCGAAAGCUGUGCUAAUACCGCAUACGAUCUACGGAUGAAAGCAGGGGACCGCAAGGCCUUGCGCGAAUGGAGCGGCCGAUGGCAGAUUAGGUAGUUGGUGGGGUAAAGGCUCACCAAGCCAACGAUUUGUAGCUGGUCUGAGAGAACGACCAGGCAAACUGGGACUGAGAAACGGCCCAGACUCCUACGGGAGGCAGAAGUGGAGAAUUUUGGACAAUGGGCGAAAGCCUGAUCCAGCCAUGCCGCGUGCAGGAUGAAGGCCUUCGGGUUGUAAACUGCUUUUGUACGGAACGAAAAGGUCCUUUCUAAUAAAGAGGGCUCAUGACGGUACCGUAAGAAUAAGCACCGGCUAACUACGUGCCAGCCGCCGCCGUAACAC
rnacentral:rRNA from 1 species